UGUAGGAGAAGUUUUCUGUUCCUGGAAACAUGCAGGGGUGAACUUGCAAAGUAAGCAAGACAAACGAAUCAGUCCAUAAGGCUUAAUUUUGCCACCAUGCAAUAGAGCUGUAGGUGCCUCAUGAAGCAUGUGCUCAUUUUUUUUCUGGAAACCAUGAUGAAACCACUCACUAGUUCAGACAAUGCACCCUUUUGUUUCCACUGAUUCAGACAGCAUCAGGAAGAGAGGGAAGCAGGUUGCAACAUGGGGCUUGGAAGAGAUGACUGUCUUGGUAGGGUGGGGCUGAACAUCAGACCUGGGUUGCAUGCCUGAGGACAAAACAGAGAAGCUGAUUGUUCAUUUAAGGAGGCUGUUGAUGACAAUAUUGAUGACUCUGACCAUGAGUGAGGACAAUUCUGGCCAGAAAGGAAAUGCAAGGAGUCCACAGACAAAAAUCCACCUACAGAGCUUCUAAACCAACUCACUGCACUGAAGAUGUUUCGGCUGUCAGCUCUAUGGAGGUCGAACUCUUCUUUGGGAAGUGUGAGCGCACCUGCAAAAGGAAGAGCUUCCAGGAGUGGAAGGAAGUAACCACAACCUGCAGCCAGGAGCAGAUGGUGGAAACAGACUUUCAAGGGCAUCACGUCCCUGCCCUGCAGGUUAUGGUGUGCCUGCCUUCUGCUGAGCUGGACAGUCAGAUGGAGAGCUCAAAACUGCAGUUGCCAGAAGAAAUGAUCAGUAAAAGGUGUGGAUUGUACGAGGAGCACCAUUAUGUUCACAAAUUGUGAAGAGCAGACUUCGUGCUAAAUACUGAAGUAGUUGUCAGCACAGUGACGUGCUGGAUUUUCAGUAAUACCUGUUUUGCUGAUGAAGACAGGACAUGUCAAAAUUUCCUUCUUCCUACUUCUGGUCUUCUGAAAUCUGCAGACAGCAGACCCACUUUUUAAGGAGUGUGGGAGCAAAAUGCUUUGGUGCUUGGAUUAUAUAUCUUUGAUGGAUAUUGCUGCAGCCCUACCAACCAGCACCGAGGGAAAGGCCAAGAACCUAUCUACUUCUUGGCCACCUCCACCUUCAUUUCUGCUCUAGACCUCAAAUCAGGCAUCUCACCUGGAAUGGACUGACUAGGGUCAUCCAUUGUCAUACAGAAGAUAUUAGCGAUGGCUUAUUUUGGGAGUAGUGAUGAAAUCCAAGUUUCUUCUCACUUCAGGAUAAAAUGAUUAUGAUGCAUCUAGUUCAAUUACUGCACACUGGUGUUUCUGCUUUCUGUGGUAAUACUCAAACAUUUUUUGUAUUUGUCUCACUGAGUCUUGAUGAUACUUGAGACUGAAGACUCUAACGUUUUAAUUGAGCUUAUUAUUUAAAUGCUAUUUUAUUCUAGUUCCACCUUUAUUGUAGGACUUUUUGUGAAGACCAACUCAACAACUCAAAACACAGAAUUAUUAGGCCUAAAAUAGCUGAAGAAAUUGUUACAUAUUAGUCUUUUCCUCAUAAUACAUCUUGGUAGUUUCUGAAAUUUACUGCUUAUGUCAUACCCUUAAUUUUAAUAGGAACUGGAUUGUAGUUCCCAUUGGAAAGUUUGAGAGUUUGCUGGUGGGAAUAGGUGGCAAAGAAGGACCUGCAGAGCUAGAACUGGUGUCUGAACAGUGAGAUUUGGUUUGCCAGGGCAUAGCUCAGGAAGGUCACUUCAAACGCGCUUUCAUUUCCGUACUCUGCAAUGUGCUGUAUUUAGAAAGUGGCAGACCAUUACUUCUGAGCACACUGCACAGCACACGCAGGGCCGAUGUUUCACAGUGUCUCUAAGGGUGGUGGUACUUGUGUUAGGUGGUGUGUUGGAUUCCCUGGAGCCGACACUUGACAGGGCAGAGCAUUUUCUGCUAAGUGUUCUGGGCUGGGAUGUCCAAGCGGUAGCACAGCUGUUGCCAAAUAUUGUAUUCCUUCUGGAUAUUAACAGUUGUACCUCCGUCUCUUCAAGGACGUGAUGGUCAUGAUUACGUUACAUCCAAGUAUAUUCUUGCCAUUCUUAGAAGUUCCUAUAUAGAAACCAAAGGCCUAUAAGGACUUCCUUGUUCUGCGUGUCUCUUUUUGAAACCAUCUUUGAAUUAGGAAAACAAUAUGAAGUUUGUUUUUCUUUAUUUUAACCUCAUUAUCAAGAGCCCUUGUCAGCAUUGACACAGGACUCCGAUGCAUUAACCUUUCAGGAUGAAAUUCUCUGGGACUGCUUUUUACGCAAAAGGGUUUUGCUUUAAAGCACUUAGUGUAAAAAUGUUUCUGUUGUUUCCAUUUAUAGAAACAAGUCACCUUUGACCAGAAAUGGAAAAUUUCAGUAUAGAAGAUAACAGUACAACAAAAAAAUGUCUGUGCGCUGUCACCGCUUUGACUUUGACAGCAAAAGCUGUGACUUUCAGGGUUUUUUCCAUAAGUUGUUAGAGAAAACAUUUUGACUGAAUUGGGCCAGAGGAAAAGAAAAAAACAACUUGUGAGUUAAUCAGAAAACAGAAUGUCUUUCCUUUGGAAAAUUUUGGUAUCAUAAAAUGUUUCUCAAUGAAAAUGAGAAAAAUUCUUUGUUUUCCUUUGCAAUUAAAAUGUUUCAGGUGUCAUGUGAAAUAAGUUGGACUUUUCAGAGUUAUCAGAAUCUCAGUAGGAUGACUUGGAGUGCUUGCACUGUUGUUUAUAGCAAUCCCAAAAUGAAUUCCCUAAUCAACCUGUAGCUAUUUUAAACUGGUAGAAGAUUCAUCCUUAGCAAAUAUGGACUGCUGAAUUAAUCCAUUUUUCUCAUUGGCAUAUGACUGUUUUCCUGCUUCAUAUUUAAUUAUUCCUCAUCCUGGAGCACAAAACACAUUUUGAAACAUGCCUUUCUGCUGUCCAGAAAUCAACACGACUGCAAAUUAGUUGUUGGUUUUUGACAGCAUUGCCUUUCCCUGGCCCCAACAACAAAACUGGAAAUGACUUUAGAUGGUUUCUUUUCCUUUUAAAGUUAGAAUACACUGAUUCAGUGGCCAUGCAGUUCCCCUUCAUUGCACUUUCUUCUUUCUGCCAGUUUUUUUUUUUUUUAAAUAGUCAAGCUCUGCUCACAUUGUUUGCACUCCUCAAUGAUCAUAGCAUCAGUGGCCAUGAGUACAGCCAUAAUUCCCUAAAAGGUAUUAACUGCCCUGUAUUGCUAGUGAUCAUGGGUUUCAGAGAAACUGGUCAGGCAUUGUGUUGUCAGUUCCAUGUGUUCUAGGAAGCAGCACUUGUGAACCGUUUCUUUGAUGUGAGAUGCCUUUGAACCUCACUGUGUAGCCUAUGUUUUGACUGCCGUGAAAGAAAGAUGACCUUGGUGCAGGCUCCACUCAGAGAUGACUUUUGAAGAGGCAGCACCUCUUGAUUGACCACUGGGUCUGUCUUAGUGCCUGGAUGUUUACAGUCAACCUCUGCUCCCUCCCUGUCUGGUGGAUAUAACACUCAAACCUUGCAGUGUGAGGGGCUAUGAGCUGUGAAGGCACCUCAUACCAAGGCGGGUGCCCUGCGGAGCUGGCUCUUGAGAAUGCCUGCCCCAGGCAUGGCAGGUCUGCAAGAUCUGUGAUAAAGUCUUCAUCACCAAUGGCAACUGGAGAAAUCCUAACGUGCUCUUCCCAACAGCUGCUCAAUCCAAGUUUCAGCACCCAUUCCAGCUGUUGACAAUUAUACUCUCCUUGUAGCCCUAGUUAGAUGUGGUGUUUGUCACAACAGAUCUAACCUGUUAAACAGAUACUGCUUUUUGCUCCAGUGGGGAUGCUGUAAGUGACAGAAAAAAUGAUUUUGGUGUAUGGUAGAUAAUGUUUCCCGAUUUGUUAAAUUCACCAGCUGCUGUGGGAUUAAAGAUGUCAUAGAAAUGUAAA